CACAGUCAUCCUGCUUCAGCCUCUAGAAUAGUGAGGCUGUAAGAGUAACCACUGUUAGCUUGAGUCUUAAUUAGAACAUAUUUAAUUAGAACAUAUUUGCUGAAAGUUUUGCAUUGUUUUUGAUAGUAUGUAAAAUAUUCUUAUUAACAACCUGUUUGCAUUUACUGAAGUUAUUACUGAGUCUGGUCAACUUGUGGUUUGGGGGGGUCUUCCUUUAUAGAUAGAGAAUUAUUAUUAUUAUAGUGACUUAUUAGUAUACUUCAUAAUAUAAUGUAACUUAUUAUUACAACUAAAUAUAUAACUUAAUAGCUUCUAAAAGCCACAGUUGGGUACUGUGUAUUAGCUCAUUAGGUUUUCAUCAUGACCAGAAGUAUUUGUGAAGUUUUAAUAUGAUAUAUAUGUUAGAAUAUUGUCUUAUAGAUAUGGAAGAAAGCUAUUAGCCUGUUUUCUACAUGUGAUCAGCUCUAAUGUUAGAAUAUUGUCUUAUAGAUAUGGAAGAAAGCUAUUAGCCUGUCAUGUUAGGAUGACUGUGAGUUUGAGGCUAGCCUGGGCCACAUAGAGAAUCUAAGGCCAGCCUGGGCUAUAUAGGAAGACCCUGUCUCAAAACAAAACAAUCUCAAAACAAAACAAAAAUUUAAAGCCACCUUCUGCCCCCACCACCAAAUCAGCAACAACAUAACCAAAUUUAAAUGUGUGUAUCAUCCCUGGUACAUUUGUGUCUGUUAUCAUCUAGAGGAUCUCCAAGUGGUGAGAAUGUGCCUGGCUUCUUUCUGCUUUUCUGAUCUCUUGGUUUUAACCCCAAACUCAGCUCCUCAUACCCGAACAGCAUGCGCUGUACCCACUGCACCGUCUCUCCAUCCUUAAAUUGAUUUGAAGGUCAAAGAAAGUUAAAUUGUUUUACUGUCUUUUCCUCCGAAAACUUAGAGAGUUAGAGAUGUGCAAGAUGUCUGAUUCAGGUGAGCAGCUGGUCACUGGCAGAUGGUAAACAAGGAUCUCCCUCCCUUUGUUCAAUGAGGAAUCAUCCCUUGGGAUGAAAUAUGAGCAAGGAGCUAAUUGACAAGCAUUAUUCUCUGAGUACAUGCCACUCUGUGUACUAAACUAAACAUAGCAGAUAAUAAAUGUAUGCUUGUGUAUGGAUUUUUAGCAAACUUCAUUUUUGUUUUGUUUUGUUUUGUUUAGCAACAAAGCCGAGCACUGACCUUAAUUUUAGAAAGCUUGCAUCAAAGGCAUACCUUUAAAAGUGGAGAGCACGUAAACAAUGUGAUUGGGAAAAUAUUGAAGCUCCAGCUUUGGUGGUGGGCCAAGUAAUCCGGUCUAAGCUAGUUUCAAAUGUCACUGAGUGGAUUAUUAGGGCUCUGGGGAAGAAUGAUUUGAUUUCACUUGCACUGGCUUCUGCCGGCUCAGCUGCUGUCCUGUAAUCCCUCUCUUGGCCCUGAGAUUUCUAAUUCAGUCAGGUUUCAACUCCCUAAGUGUCCUGUAGCGUGGAAAUGAAUAGAACUUCUUCUUUGUUAGUCUGCCAUUCAUGUUGAGACUUUUGAGUGACAUUUUCUAGAUAGUUUUAUACUGUAUGUAAGGCUCAUGUAACACUUAGCCAGAGGAGACCCUGUCCUUGCUUUUAAAUAAUUUUACUUUAGCUGUGUUUCUCAUUACAGUGAUGAAGGCUGUGUAGGGGGAAGGGUCUGUUUGGGCUUAGAUCUAAGAAGAGUUGCCUUCCAUCGUGGUGGUGAAGUGUGCGGGCUGGUCACUCUUUUGUCAAGUGUGCAGGCUGGUCACUUUUGUCAGGUGUGCGGGCUGGUCACUUUUGUCAAGUGUGCGGGCUGGUCACUUUUGUCAGGUGUGCGGGCUGGUCACUUUUGUCAAGUGUGCAGGCUGGUCACUCUUUUGUCAAGUGUGCGGGCUGGUCACUCUUUUGUCAGGUGUGCAGCAGGCUGGUCACUCUUUUAUCAAGUGUGCGGGCUGGUCACUUUUGUCAAGUGUGCGGGCUGGUCACUCUUUUGUCAGGUGUGCAGGCUGGUCACUCUUUUAUCAAGUGUGCGGGCUGGGCUGGUCACUUUUGUCAGGUGUGCGGGCUGGUCACUUUUGUCAGGUGUGCAGGCUGGUCACUUUUGUCCGCAGUCAGGAAACAGAUAAAGGCGGUGCUCAUCUGGCUCCCACCUGUUUUCCUUCUUCAGUCUCGGACCAGCCCAGGGGAAGGUGAUGCCCACCUUCAGUUAGCCCUCUCCUUCCUUCUCCCUGGAAACAAACUCACAGAUACAUCCAGAGAUUGUCUCCUGGAAGAUCCCAAAUCCGGUCUAGUUGACCAUGAAGAACAAUCAUUUCAGUUUUAAACAAAUUUUCCUAAGUUCCAGCCCAUAGCUCGCUUCAUUUAUACACAUUCUACUUGACUAAUUUAAAGGGAUUUUUACUCUUAAGUGGUACUUCUUGUUGCUGAAGUGUUCACCUUUGAAUUUAGCUUAGCCCGUUCUGUUUCAACUCUACGUAGAGCAAAAGCCAUGAACAUGUGCAAACUAGAGAUGCUGCUACUCAAGCCAGAGGAAUUAUUCUUCACCAAGGGUGUGAGAAUAGCUAGUUACCUCACAGCCAUUUUGCAGCUCCUAGAAUUGUCGUCAUGUUAUUUCAUGAUAUAUUUCAUGAUAUAUCAUGGAUUUCUUAUAUUUAACCAAAAAAAAAAAAAAAAAAGGAAG